rnacentral:lncRNA from 1 species
AAACAAUCAAUCUAAGGAUGAUACAAACAUUGAAACUGUUGAAUUUGUCAAAACUAUUGCACCUGUUGAAACCCGCUGGAAUUCCAUCUUGAUGAUGAUGCGAUCCAUUUUAAAGUUGAGGCCAGCUCUUGAGAGGAUCAGAGAGGACUUCAGCAACGGAACUGAUCCCAAGAUAAGAGAAAAAAUCCCUACAUCAGAGGAAUUUGAACAGAUUGUUGCCAUCAUUGGUCCACUCACCAAGAUUGAAGAGAUGUCUUUAUUCUUUUCUUCUGACCAAAAACCAACCAUCUGCUAU